UACGUAGGGGGCAAGCGUUGUCCGGAUUUACUGGGCGUAAAGAGCGUGUAGGCGGCCAAACAGGUCCGUUGUGAAAACUGGAGGCUCAACUUCCAGACGUCGACGGAAACCGUGUGGCUAGAGUCCGGAAGAGGAGAGUGGAAUUCCUGGUGUAGCGGUGAAAUGCGCAGAUAUCAGGAAGAACACCCGUGGCUAAGGCGGCUCUCUAGUACGGUACUGACGCUGAGACGCGAAAGCGUGGGGAGCGAACAGG
rnacentral:rRNA from 1 species